rnacentral:rRNA from 1 species
CCUACGGGAGGCAGCAGUGAGGAAUAUUGGUCAAUGGCCGUAAGGCUGAACCAGCCAAGUCGCGUGAAGGAAGAAGGAUCUAUGGUUUGUAAACUUCUUUUAUAGGGGAAUAAAGGUAUCCACGUGUGGAUAUUUGCAUGUACCCUAUGAAUAAGCAUCGGCUAACUCCGUGCCAGCAGCCGCGGUAAUACGGAGGAUCCGAGCGUUAUCCGGAUUUAUUGGGUUUAAAGGGAGCGUAGAUGGGUUGUUAAGUCAGUUGUGAAAGUUUGCGGCUCAACCGUAAAAUUGCAAUUGAUACUGGCAGCCUUGAGUACAGUUGAGGUAGGCGGAAUUCGUGGUGUAGCGGUGAAAUGCUUAGAUAUCACGAAGAACUCCGAUUGCGAAGGCAGCUUACUAAACUGCCACUGACAUUGAUGCUCGAAAGUGUGGGUAUCAAACAGGAUUAGAUACCCCGGUAGUC